AUUGAACGCUGGCGGCAGGCCUAACACAUGCAAGUCGAGCGAGCGGCGGCCGGGUGAGUAAUGUCUGGGAAACUGCCUGAUGGAGGGGGCUAACUACUGGAAACGGUAGCUAAUAACGCAUACCAUCAGAUUUCCCCCGGUGGGAUUAGCUAGUAGGUGGGGUAACGGCUCACCUAGGCGACGAUCCCGAGCUGGUCUGAGAGUAUGACCAGCCACACGAUAACUGAGAAACGGUCAAGACUCCUACGGGAGGCAGACAUGGGGAAUAUUGCACAAUGGUGGCAAGUCUGAUGCAGCCAUGCCGCGUGUGUGAAGAAGGCCUUCGGGUUGGAAAGCACUUGCAGCGGGGAGACGUUACCCGCAGAAGAAGCACCGGCUAACUCCGUGCCAGCAGCCGCGGUAAUAC
rnacentral:rRNA from 1 species